rnacentral:lncRNA from 1 species
CAAAUAAAAAAAGUUUGGAGACGUAAAUAAAAAAUUGGAAAAAGUUGGGCACCAAUGGUGCAAUUAACCCCACCUAAAUGCACCAAUAAGAAAUUAUUGCUUGCACCAGGUGUAUCCAUAAGCCUCAUACACCAUAUCCAAUUUUUAACCAACAAUGCCUUAAAAUUAAAAUCAAUUCAAUAGAUACCAUCUACACCAUCUAAAGAGCACAAUAUUAAAAAUCACAUAGUUCAAAAAAUUGUAUGAUAAUGAAAACCACAUGGUAAAUUGGUAAGUGUAAUAUAUCAGUCUAUUGUACGAUAAAGAGGAAGAAAGAGACAAAAAAAAAAGAAAAAGAAAAAACAUUACAACACAAAAUUUCUAUUUUGGUGGUGAAAUGCAUCUAUGUUUGUUGUCUCAAACAGUAUGUAAUCCUCCAUAACUCUACAUCUUUUCCCCUUUCAUACUCUUUUACAUACUGCGGGAUCUCACUGAUAUCAAUCUGCUCGCCUUUAAAACAUGGCGGCAAUUUAUCGUUUUGCCUUCCACAAUCUGCCAAAAAAUCAAUAGGAAAAGAAAAAGGAAAAGUGUGAGAUACACUAACAACUAUAACAUUGCUAAAGUCAAAUUUUAAAAUAUAUAAGACUAUACCCUCAUCAUUGUUCAAAAAGCUUCGAAAAUGUUCAUAACCAUUCGCCACAACAUCGAGUUCUUCCAUACUAAAGUUGUACCGCUUUUCCAAGGCCAAGUAUAAAACCUAUAACCAAAAUUAAACAAGCACAUUCGAAUUCAGUUUAAUGGAGACAGUUUGUAUUAAUUUGUUUAUUUUGUUUCAAUAAUAAUCAAAUUGCGAGACUACCUUUUCGGAGCCAUGUGACAUUAGCUUCUCCAGAGUGCCAAAGAACAAGUCAGUAAGGUUGUCGCUGUAAAUUACAUCAGCAGCUAAAAGCACUACUGCUCUCUCAGCUUCCUCAAUCUCUGCAGAGGUCCACGAGUACCUCGACCUAGGUUUUAUAUUGUUCCGAAACCAACUUAAGCACAAUUGAACAGGCUCUAUUUGUCCGAAGAAUAUAGAGAAAAGGAAAUAGCGAUAUCUGUAAUGUCUGCAUGGCACUUUGUAGCCAGCCUAGAAUUUUUGGAGCUAAACACAGUCAAUAUUUUCUGGCAGAAUAUAUGAAUAUCCCACCUAACUGAUUGUUAUGUCCGCAUGGCACUUUGCAAUUUGCCCGCUAAUAAUAUCAAAAGUUUAUGUUUUGAUUUUCCCUUCUUUUGAUCUUCCUAGUCCUACUUUAGAGUGUAAUUUCCGCAACUGUGCAACAACAAUAGAUCCCUAUGAAUCCACAUCUUUGCUACAGGAUUGGGCGAGUAUAUUUCUUUUAGAACUCGACAUUGCGGUAGUGAUUACUUGCUAAAAGAUUCUGAAACAUUGCCGAUCAGUACAAUGUUUUCUGUGCAAAACUGCAAACUACUAUCAGCUUCUAGUACCUUCUCCUUUAAGGGAACAUAAUUAUCUAUUCCCUACCGCUAUCUAGAUUCAAGAAUCUACAGUUUAUAUCUAUUCUAGUAUUCCCAAAUCAUAUAUAGACUUGAACAAAAUUCAUGGGAUAAUUUAUUUUAUCAUUCCUACUAUAUACGUUUUGAGGCAGUAAAUUUGAACAUAAUCAAGACGGCGUAGCCUGGUCAUGAUAUACUGCCUUUGCCCAAGUGCCUAGUCGCUUGUGUGGGUGAAUGUCAGGAGUUAGAGCUACCAACUGAAGCAUUCCUAGCUAGGUCAUACUACUGAAAUGGCUAAAGAAAGUUUUCUUCUAUAGAAAUCACCUUGGUUGGGAUAGGAGAUCAAAUUUUCCAAUCAGCGGAGGCCAAGACUCUCUCCAAUCGAGCUCGCGUACGUGAACUUCAGUUUCAUCAAACUUCAGCCAGCUAGAAUUAAGAUGAACGUUAGUUGCACAGUUAUCUAAGAUCUCGGUGCCUAUAUCUGCCAAUUAUAAGAGGAAAGGCAAAAAAAAAAAAAACAAAACAAAACAAAACAAAACAAAAAAGAAGUUAGUGGGAGUGAAAUUUAUAACACUUGAGUCUUAAAGGACAAAACAAACACUUGUGUGUCUUAAAGGACAAAACACUGUUUCUUUAGAGAACAUAGCCUUCCAAAGCUUGUUAUAUAUAACAUCUGCUCAGAAAUUCAAACCUAAAGAUUAGAGUUUGUUUAACAAAACCAUCCCAUAUAUAAAGACUUUGUCCGUAACUCCAUAUUCAAUCACCCAUAGCCUCAACAACUUUCUUUUCAUCUCUUCCUUUCGGACCAAUGACAUAUAUGUUGGUUCAGAAGGUCUAGGGCUCUAGGCUAUAUCUACUGUUUCUCAUUUUACUCAUAGCAUUUGUUUAGAAACGUCAGGUCAAGAAGUUCUCUUGCUGAACUAAUUUUUCAUCUUAAAUGUACAAUAUCAGGGCCUGUUUAGCGCCACUUCUGUUUCUACUUUCAGCAAAAGCAGGCUCUAGUAGUGCUUGGCAAAGAAACCCAAAAAGUCUGCUACUUCUGCUGCAACGGGUAGUAGAAAUAAGAUUCUAAGCCUUAAUAGAGAAACCUUAUUUUGGUGCUUCUAAUUCCGCCACAGACAAAAGGUGUUGAGGGUAUAUUAUCAUAGUUCUUCUCCAAAUAACAUUACUUCAUCAACCAGCUAACAUUACUUCAUCAACCAGCACUACACCGUACAGUAGGAUCAAACAGGUUACGCUCAUGUAAAUAAUGCAUGUAAUAGCACAAAAUAGUUAAAUAUUGUUAUUUUUCAAAGAAUUUUACUUCUUGAAAAGAAUUAUAAGUAAGUUUCAAGCAACCGGUUAGUCAAAAGUUUCAGAAGUAUACUUUUCCCUGUUCCCUUUGACAAAUCAACCACUUUUUGAAAGUCUCACUUUAGCACUUCUGGAAAGUGCAACUUUCAGGCAACAAAACAAGACCUUUAGCUCUAUUCAAUAUGAAAAGCAGUUUAUUUUGUACAAAGAACUGCAAAAUGCCAGCUAUUCUAAAAUUAUUAGCGAAAAUAAUGCAUUAGAGAAGAAAAACCGAGAAAGACGUACAGUUCAAAGUUCAAACAUAUUAGAUAGGAAAAGUAAGGAGAACCUGUAAUAAGUUCAAACAUAUUAAAUAGGAAAAGUAAGGAGAACCUGUAAUAAGUUCAAACAUAUUAAAUAGGAAAAGUAAGGAGAACCUGUAAUAAAGACUGACCCAGCAACCCGUGCAAGUGCUAUACCAACCAAACCUGUUAAAUAUUGUAAAAUAAGAAGAGCAAUAGGCACUUAUGGGACUCGUAUUGCCUUCUAAAUACGCGGCUAUAAACCAACCAAAGCUAAACAAUGACUAAAAAGGCACGCAUAACGCAAAGUGCUCGGACACAUGAUGAAUGACGAGGCCUCAAAACAUACAUUUUACGUAUGAUAACCAAUUUUCUCAUGGAACUACUAUAUACUAAACAAAGUAAGGUAUGCAAGGUUUUGAAAUGGGUAGCCAGUAUCCUAAUAUCUUUUUAUGCAUUUACGCCAAAUUUAGGAUUGUGUUUCCAAAAACAUCUGCUUUUAUGCUUUGCAAGGUUCAAAAAAAGAAACAAAAACAAAAGCGCUUCCAAUCUUUCCUCCUCCAUUUCUAGGCCUUAGUAGUUUGUUGGUUAUUAUACAACAAUAUAUCACUACACAUCAGCAAAUUCCCUCAAGUAAGGCUAGUACAUUUUCAAAAAAGAAUCUGCAUCUUAAUACUUUCUUCUUGAAAUUGAUGCUGAACCAUUUGAAUUGAUGAUUUUUAUAUACUUAAAUAUGACCUACGGUAUUUGAAGUCUGCAGAUAGUGCAAGCAAAAAUAUUGAUGAUCCGUAUACGUAAAUAUGACCUAAGGUAUUUGAAGUCUCUAGAUACUGAAUAUAAUUAUUUUUGAUAAAUUGACAAUUAGGGCCAUCCAUCCAGAUCUACUUAGUUAAAAUAUUUUCUAAACAAAAGUUCAGCUAAUUUAUAUUAUUCUAAAUAAGUGAACAAACUCCUUAUAUCCAAUGUUAAGAUUGUCAACUUUGAGACCGCUUGAUCAUUAUGUAGUAGGUUUACAAAAUCAAUUAAAUAUUCUCAAUUACAUAUGACAAUAUGGAUCUUCAAUUCAAAUGUUUUAACAUUGAUUUUGAGAAGGAACAAGGCUCAAAAACUCGUGAAAGCAUUCUAACGUGACUCAAUUUCCUGUUCAAAUUUAAAUUUCACAUGAUAUUUGAAGAAUAAUAAGAAUAGUCCAUCUCCAUUGAUGUUAUGAUGUAGAUAACCAAGCACAAUGUGUAUGCCUUCCAUUUAAAACUUUUUCAAGAUGUUUAAUUGUUACAUGCUUCUUUAUGCAAAACGUGUUCAUCAGCAUGUACAGCCUCACCAUUUGCCCAAUACAGUUUUUGAGAAACCUCCACGAGAACUAGUUUCAAAUGAGCCUAAUGAAAAUCAAAGGUAAAUGAAUACACUUCAUCACAUUCUCAUCUUAGCAGCUAAUUAAUAGAAAUUACUCAAAUGGUCACCUGUUCCAGCACCAAGCUCUAUUGCUGUGAUACCAUUGAAGUCACAUGAGGUAAAACUUCUAUGCAAGACAUAAUCGGUAAGUACCAAUGAUGCUCUCCACACCUGAGAUAUUAAAAUGUAAACAUGAUACACAUCAAAGAAAGCAUUAACGAAAGCAAAACGAUACACCACCUGCAGUCCGACAUUCCGAAGUGAUGAAGUGAUAUUGUGCUUGAUGGCCAUUACAUAGGUCAAACAUUUCUCUGUAGCCAGAAAGAGAAAUAUUAAUCCAGAAUAUUUAGCACAUCGAGAAUGAAACAAAACCAGUUGAUUUGCCUUCAGUUCGGAGAUGUCAAUCUUGAUAAGUGAUAUAAAUUAAGAACGGAUUUCACGUUGCUGAACUAAGAUUUAAAGAAUAAGCAACGAUCAUGCAUAUGAUUAUGAAAAUCAUCGAGUUUCAAGUUUCAAGUUUCAGGCUUUCAGCAAUACAAAAUAAGCACCAGUUAAGCAAAACAUUGAACAAUUCUAUGUAUGCUAGUUAAUUUGUGUGUACCGGGGUUCAGCUCCAGUGAGUACUCACGCAGAGGAAGAAUAGUUAAUGAUUUUAGUGCAGAGAUAUUAUGUGAAAGAAGAACAAAAAAAAUGCAUUAGUUUACUGCAACAAACAAAUAUGACGCACUAGAUACAGUUUCGGAGAAACAAUUCAAAAGUGAAGUAGGAGAAAAAUGAAAGCGAAGUUAUAGUUCCACAUAGAGUGAGUAUACAAAUUUUUUAGAUUACAUGAUAUGUACUUCCAAGUUAAGAAAAGCUGCAAACAACUUAGGAAAAGCAGUAUAAUCUCACAGCACUGCACAUCAAUAGAAGAUGGAAAUCUGGGAAAUUUGACCGCAUAAGAGAAGUAUCAAUAUGGAAUUGAGAAAUCAGAAUGUCAACAACAUAAGUACGAGAUGAAUCACAAAAUGCAGAAUAGUCAGUUCCAGCUAAACUUACUAGUUUUGUUUCUUCGUCGGCUUACAACAAGAUCACCAUCGUUAUCCACAGUUAGAAUGUCGGAUGAAGGAUCUUUAUCACAGUGGUCGCUACACUCAACAUUACCAUGUACAGCUGAAAAUCAUAAUCAUGUCCCAUCAACAUUUAUGCUACAUCUGGUUAUUGAGUGAAAAGUCAAAGAUGAAUUUAAAACUAACCAGAAUUAUUCUUUUCUGCGAGGAUUGAACAUUCAGCAUUAUCAUCCAAACUAAGCUUCUGAUUACUCCUCCCAUCCACGACAUCUGAUUUGACGAGCUCAGAUAAGUUACGUCCAUAUACGAAUCACUAGUGAAGGACCCGCGCGUUGCGGACGUCCAUAUACAAAAAAAAAAAAAGAUAAAAAAAUAAAAAAAUCAAUUGAUUUACGCAGUACGGGCAUUAUAGAUUAAGAUUACAAACAGAUAUACAGUUUCCCGAAUACCAGCUUGAGCACAAGAAAGCUAGCAAAGAACUCAAGUCUCACAUUAAACAAGUUGACUCAGAAAUUCUAAUCAAUUAGCUAAAUAAAGAACAAAACAGCAAUCACAUUAUUUAUAAUAACUCCCUAUCCCUUGAUUGAACUAAUCUACUAAAUUAUGCCAGCUUCAUGAAGACUAACGAAAUUUUAGCCAAGUUUCACUCUUCGUUCUUUAACUUUUAAGUGGGCAUUUGAUAUCAGAUUUUAGAAAUAUUUUACUUUGGCCCUCGUCAACAUUUAAAAAAAAGAUAAUUAUGCUGGUGCAUGAAUACAUCCAUGCACCAAGCAUCCAUCAGCCCUCAAUCCCACUAUAUAUUUGAGCCCAUACCAUUAUUAAGUUGCAGCCAUUUCCUCUACUUAGAAAUCGGAUAAUUAGACUACAAGUAUGAGAGAGAAGGAACGCCGAAGAUGCGUGGUGUUCGGAUCUGCAGAUGCACUAAGUAAAAGCUUUUUUUUUUUUUCUUAUGUCCAAUUUAAAUCCCUCAAACUUUUACCAAGUUUCACUUCGACAUCUGAACCUUUUUCAAGCUCAACAUUUGAGUCACUAAAUUUUUGAAAUUUGAAAAUCCAUCGUCAUGCAUUUUUUAAAGUAAAUUGCACGUUUGGUCCUCAAACUAUGAGGGUGAUACUUUGGUCCUCAAACUUUAAUUAGUUGAAAUUUCUGGCUCAAAGUUUCAAAAUUAUUACAAUCAAGUCCCAUAGCCUAAUUUAGUUAAUUAAAUAUUGCUCUAACGCUAAUAUAUAAAUAAUAUAGUAGUGUUGCGAUUGAUGAUGCACCAAUAAUUAAUAUGCCACAUCACUUUUACAUCAGCGAUGCAUCAAUAUUUAGUCAACUAAAUUAGUUUAGUCGUGGGAUUUGAUUGCAACAAUUUUGAAUGUUUUGAGCUAGAAAUUAUGACAAAUUAAAUUUUAAGAACUAACAAGUUAUAUGCCUUACAGUUUGUGGACCAAACGCGCAAUUUACCCCAUCUUUUAUAUGCAUCGACAGACAUCUCAUCUCAUAUUCCGAUCCUUAAGUAUGAAAUAAAGUGAGAAAAUUUCAGAAGUUCAGGUGCACUUUGAGGACCAAAGUGAAAUUUGACUAGAAAUCCAGGGACUAAAAUUUACCUAUCAUGACAUGUACCUUUCGGGCCAUUUUUUUAACUUAAAAGCGAAUAAAAACCAUGGUUUCCAGCAAUUGAACCAAAACACCAGAUACGUGUAUGAUGAUAUGCCUCUGAGAACCAUCGGAAAAAAUAAAACAACACGUAAAAAUGUAUCGAGACCCCUCAACUAUAGGAUUUUAGUUAGCAAAAAAUUGGAGAUUUCAUCAAAUUUAAUGGCUUAAAUUACUAUUUUAGUAAUCACAUACCAAAGAAAUUAACCGUUCAUAACUGAUAGAGCCAUUAAAUUAGGUUAAAAAAAAAAAACUUAAUUAAGCAUAACUAUUCAAUUCAAAAAUAUCUGAAGUUCAAGUUGAGGAUUACGGGGUUUCUAAAUAAUUUUACCAAAACCAAAAAAAAAAGAAAAAAAAAAUCACCUAUGGAUGGAACGGAGAAGGUGAAGUGGGUGGUGCAGGGUCCGGUGGAUCGCGGUGGGCAUCCCAAAUGGACCUCGCUCAUCACCUGCUCUUCUCCUUCUUCUUCUUCUUCUUCUUCUUCUUCUUCCAUGGAGGAAGAAGCGCUUUUGGAGAAAGCAGAUAAAUUUCUCAGAUUAGGGCUCGAAUUCGACCAGCAAAGAAGCAGGUGAAUGGGCCGGAGCCCAAAAUGGCUCGACCCUUUUUGGGUCUUGUUCCCGACAAAUAUGGUCCGGACUACGAAUUAUUUUGAUUCAGCUAUUCCACCUCUCAAAAUUUUAAUCUUACUAUCCAAAUUUUUAGUUUAUUUGAUUUGAAUCAGUUAAUGGCACUUAGAUUUUAAAUUUUUAAAUAAUUUUUUAUUUUAAUAAAUUUAUAGUUGCGAGAAUUGAAUGAAAUUUAGUAACUAGUCCUAUAGAGAUAAACAACUGUAUUUAAAUUCUAAAGUCAAAAUAUCAUAGACUAACUCAAAUCAAACAAAAUUGAAAGGUUUGAUAGUAAAUUCAAAAUUUUGUAAGACUGGGUUGUCGAAUCAAAACAACUCAUAGUUUCUAAGUUCUAUAUGUUUUUACUUUUUUAGAGCAAUAAUACUGAUACACCCCAAAAUAGAGGUGUGCAUCUUAUAUUCACUCCAUCCAAUAACCAUUAAUUAUGUACUUGUGAUAUCAACAUUUUUUUAUAUUAAUAAUCAUUUAGGUCUUUGUGAAUUCUAGGAUGGAUGGUGUAAGAUUUACUAUCCUUUUUAGGAUGUAAAUUUCUCUUUUUAUUAAGCGAUAAUUACCUAUAUACCUCUCAAAACUUUAAAAAUAUCUCAUUUAUUUCUACUUUUCUUUUCUUUCCAAUAUACCCCUCAUAUUUUUCUCCGUUAUUCCAAAAUACCCCUACAGUUAUCAUUUGUUAAGUUAAUCUGGGUUAAACGUGAGUUAAAUAUCUACUAGAGUUAAAAAAAAAAAAAAAAAUCAAAACACCUUUUUUACCCUUAACUUAAGGACCAAUAAGAAAUGUUGGUAAUGAUAGAAGGGUAUAUUUGAAAAGACCAAAAAUCAAAAUACUUUUUGUAUCCCUAACUUAAGGACAAAUAAGAAAAGUCAGCAAUGGUGGAAGGGUAUAUUAAAAAGGGCAAAAUAGUAAUUUCAUACAGAAAACAGCUAUUGCUAACAGUUUAUUAAUAGAAUUUAACUCUAGGGAUAUAUUUGAAAUAGGUUGGAACGUAAAAAGGGUAUUUUCAAUAUUAGCCUUUUAAGAGGGGUAAAUCAGAAAGACAAAAACUUUUUAGGGGUAUAUAAGUAAUUGCCCCUUUCAUUAAGGUUAAAAUGUAUUGGCACUCUCUAAACUUUAACCUAUUUUGAAAUGAUCCCAUGAACAUAUUUUCUUUUAUGAGCAAUACUAUUAGUACACUCUGAAAUACGGGUGUAAAUCUUACACCUAUUCCAUCCAAAAACCUAUAGUUCUCUAUUUAUCACAUAAACCUUUUUUAUUUUUACUAAAAAUUAUUUGAAUUUUUGUCAACCCUAUAAUUAAGAGUAUAAAAUCUACACCCUUUUUUGACGUGUACAAGUAAAAGAGAAAUUCUACUUAUAUACCCCAAAAGGGGUGUAACUCUUACAUCCCAUGUCUUAGAGUUCACAAAAAUUCAAAUAGUUCUUAGUAAAAAUUUUAAAAAAAAAUUAAUGUGACGAGUAAAAAAGUAAUAACUAUUGGAUAUAGUGGGUAUAAGAUGUACACCUACUUGGGGGUGUACCAGUAGCAUUGCUCUUUUUAUUUGAUUUACACCCACUCUACUUAUUAAUUAGUUAAUUU